rnacentral:misc_RNA from 1 species
GAUGAAGAACGCAGUGAAAUGCGAUAAGUAGUGUGAAUUGCAGAAUUCCGUGAAUCAUCGAAUCUUUGAACGCACAUUGCGCCUUCUGGUAUUCCGGAAGGCAUGCCUGUUCGAGAGUCAUUAACAACCGUUUCGAUCCCUUUCUUUCAGAAAUUACAAAGAGGAAAAGGGUUUGGUUAUGGUGGAGGAGGGAAAGGGAGCGUUUAGCCUGUAAAAAAAGAGGCUGUGUUCCGCCUCCCCCCCAAAAUUGUACAGGCGGUCGUGUGCGCCCACGCAUCGAGGUGUUGUAAAAGCUGCCACGGCACUUUUCACCUGUGCAGUGCGAGAUUGGCCAGCCGGUUUAAAAACCCCUCCAAACAAUCAAAGGUUGACCUCGGAUCAGGUAGGGAUACCCGCUGAACUUAAGCAUAUCAAAAGCGGAGGA